rnacentral:rRNA from 1 species
UACGAAGGGGGCUAGCGUUGCUCGGAAUCACUGGGCGUAAAGCGCACGUAGGCGGAUCGAUCAGUCAGGGGUGAAAUCCCAGAGCUCAACUCUGGAACUGCCUUUGAUACUGUCGAUCUGGAGUAUGGAAGAGGUGAGUGGAAUUCCGAGUGUAGAGGUGAAAUUCGUAGAUAUUCGGAGGAACACCAGUGGCGAAGGCGGCUCACUGGUCCAUUACUGACGCUGAGGAGCGAAAGCGUGGGGAGCGAACAGG